CCUGGACAGAGACACCAAAAUCCAAACAGUAAAUGCUGGACGGAGGCGUAUUUAGCACAAGCCAUGAUCUGGAGAAAAAAAGACAUCAUCCUUGCUCUCAAGGAGCUUACCAUUUACUUUGCCCCCAGACAGUUAUGAAGUAGCAGAAGGGAUAAAGCUUUAAUAGAGAAAUGUUGUACUCUGGGCACCUAGAAAAAAAUAAAGUAAGUUUUAAGUGAGAAUUGAGGAAGGUCUCCAGGAGAAGGUGGCAUUUGAUUCAAACCUUGAACAAUGGGCUAUAAAGGCUAAUGGGAUGGCGGAGAUGGUCAUUUCAGGCAGAGGAUGUAAUAUUUCAAGGAGAGGAAGUUUUAAGGAGAAACCUCUAGAGACACUGUCUUAAAACAAAGGAGUAAGCAUCAAGUUUGAAUCUAGAGCACAGAGUCAGACUUAUUGGAAAAGUUACUUGGAUCCAGGCUUUUAAUGUCCUCUCGAAUCUUCCAGAUCGAAGCUUCCUAAUUGCUCUUGGACGGAGGGCUGGCUCCACACCAUGAAGAAAGCAUCAACACACUUCAUCUUCCCUAGGGCAUAUCCCUGUAGCUCUGUGAUUAGGGCACUGGAACAAGCCUACCCUUUGUUUCUGUGUGUGCACAUUCGUGUGCACAUUCUUGAUGAAUCUGUCUUAUGCUUGGGACAGUGUUCCUUGGCAAUGACAUCACAUUGGCAUCAAGGAAAAUAAAAUGAUCAUGUUGGCCUACAUUGGUCAGAGAUAACUAAGUAAAAUCUGCAAUGAACUCAUGCUUUAGGGCCCUGUUUCUGGUUCUAUCAUGAAGAUCACAUAUUCUUUCUCUUAAAAAGACCUCAUGGCUUGAUUUAAGUGUUCGUUUUUGAAAACAUUGGAUUGUAUUGAAAAUAUUGUAUAAAGAUAGAGCCUUGGUACAAAAUAUAGGAAUGCGAGGUUUAGACAUAAUUGGAUAAAUUUUAAAACCUCAUAUCCCAACUUCUAAUUAAGGUAAGGGAGCUUAAUUUAAACAAAUAAAUGUUAGAGUUGACUCACAACGUACAGACAAGACCAUAAUUUAAAAAUGUAAUCGUCGUCCUUCCUAUUUCAGAUGUUAUCCUGGUCUGAAUUUCUAGCCCUGUUCUCUCUAUACAAGAGGCUCAGUGAGCUGAGGUUUUGGCCUGCUUUAGCAGCCACUUUUCUGGCACGCUGCAGGAGAGAAUACAGAGCAAUCAAAUCAGCCUCUAAGUUGGCCCAAAACAUCAAGUGGGCCUGGACAUGAUGGUAUAUUUUCAGGCACAUAUAAACUUGGCCUGUAUUCUUCGGUCUGGCACCACUCUGGAUCAGUAAAUAAGGUUUUUGAAAAGCCCAAACAAACCAUAAGGAAAUCCUGCAUUCUGAAACAAAAGGUAUAAAAACUAAGUAAAGACACACACUGCCAUUGUCUGGUUUGCCAGGAUGUGAGCCGCUGCCUUGGGAGAAAGAUAACAUGAAAGACGCCAUAAUUGCAGGGCCAAGACUACGGGGCCCAUGCAAACAGGACGAAAAAAUAGCAAGAAAGAAGCGUUCCAUGUGCUUUCAGUCAGGCGAGGGGGGAAAAAAACUCAAAAGAGCAGCUCUCUCUUGAACUUGUUCAAGAAAUGGAGACACAGGGGGAGGAAAAUGAGAAAGAACACACCAGAACAAAGUUAAAGUUUUCAGGAAAAACAUGAGGGUGGGAGAAAAAAAAAAGGCAGAAUGAUUUAAUGCCAGCCAAAGGAACUAAGGGAAUAGGGUGUGUUUUUAUAAACAUGUUUGCUUUUUUUUUUUUUUUGUUCAGGGGGAGGAGUGUGGAAAAAGAAAAAGCAGGCCCAUUUAAUGAAUGAGGAGGGAGCUGAAACCUAACUGAUUCCAUAUUAGCUGAGCUUUUCAACUGCUUUGAAAGAAAAUUUAUCUUAAAAGAGAAAAAUAAAGAUAAAGGGGAAAGACAAUUGGGAAAUAAUGAAGAUGUUGUCAAUAAACUAUUGAUAAGAGGGAUUAAGGGAGUAUUUAGAGAAACAGAAGACAUGCAAACGAGAGGCUGAAAUAAUACCCACGCCACGGUAUGCGGUGGAACUAGCUAAAGAAUUUGCAACACCACAGUGGCUUUUUUUCUUAAUAUCACCCAGUAGCAUAUAGGAGGUACUAAGAGCAGGUGUCUUAUUAUAUCACGUCUCAUAUUAAUAUCUUUCAUGAUGAAUGCAUUAAUAGUUCUCAGGGUCGUACGCAUUAGUCUGGCCUCCUCUCUCAGUAGCAAUGUGAUAGGAUUGACUAAAGCAAAAGAUGUUAAAAUGUUUGGGGGCACUAAAUAAAAACAGAAACACAUUUCCCAAUAAAAAAGACGGAAACAUAGGCAUUGAGUAAUCAAAGGAAUUGUUGAAGAUCAAAUACCAAGUCAAUGGCUAAGUUAUGACCCAUUUUCUAGAAUUCAGACAUCUUCCAAAAUAAGAGCGAGCACAGAAGGUGACCUGGGUCUCAGGUGUUGAUGCAGGCGUGCCAGUGCAGAAGAGGGGAGUUGUCUCACGUUUUAGCUGCAGCCACUAGCACUGGGAGCCAUUUUGGAAGUGGACCUUGUCUGCAUUCAUAACGUCACCACUGCUGUUGCCUGGUUUUUCCAGCUGUCUUCCUGCUCUGAGAUACACUCAGCCAAUGGCAGAGCUAAAAAUAUGACCACAAAAUCAUUCUUUCACCCCCUACCCCAAAACAAAUUUCAGGACUCCCACUAUCCUUUGUGUAUUGCAAAAUAAUUCUGUGCCUGCCCCUUUACCCCACUAGAGCUUCAGUCAAGAGAGAGGAGUGAACUGUUUUACUGGUUUCUGCACAUAGACCAGACCAAGGGAGAAAUUAACCUGCAGAAGGCGAUAACUGAAUGCAGGUUUUGAGAAUUUAGAUGACAAGGAAGUCAAGGUGGUUAGUCAAAGCCCCUACACGCCUUAUGAGCAUCUCUGGCCGAAUCACCCAGUCCUGAGCUGGCGGACAACAGAUACAGGCCUACACUACAUCCCAGAUUGGUCUCUGGGGGCCCCUCCAGCUUUGGCCCCUCCAAACCUUGCAGUGCCUCUGAGGCCUCCCUGCUCACACCUGUUACUCAUUCCCAGCCACCUGAUCUGAAGCGUUGUCAGGGUCAGUGUUUUUAUUCUGCCUGCUCUGUUGUGCUGAUGGAUCAAUGACAGUGAGCAAAGAACAAACUGUGCCAAAGAAGAUGUCCUCUUCUUCUAGGCUGACUCAGCUUGGAACAGGAAGACAGGGGGCAUCUGGCAUUUGGUGAAGCCCUGAUUGUCUCCUACGAAAUAUUAACUGAAAAUGGAUGUGCGUUGGCCUGCUUCUGAGAAGGUCGCCCAGGUUGAAUUUGAAAGGCAGAGGCGCUGUGUCAACAAAGGGAAGCGAUAAGCAGCACACCGUUUCUCUGAGCUAAUGUGUCCACUUGUGUACCACGGGAUCGGUUUUAUAUCUCUCUGCAGAUCGGUGUGUUUUUAUGACAACCAUUUCCAUAGCAACCAGGUGUCCAGACACUAAAUGGAUCUCAAGGAUAUUAAAUCUCAGCCUGGUGAGGGAAGCCCACUGUGACGGCAGUUUCCUUGGAGCCGUUUCCUAUUGAGAGCUGAUGGGCAGGCUCAGGAGACCUGGUGCGGCUCCCCUAAGGCCAGCUCUGCAGAGGGACAGCCAUGAUGGGAGACGAGACUUUUUGUUAUCAUUUUUACUAACGAUCCAGAAGGAAGGGUAAAUAGCAGGUAAUUAAACUCACGUGAACCUAAACAGGAAGGUGUUACAAACAUUAGCGGAAAAAUCAUGUCAGUGGCGGUAGAAGAAAUAACCAAAUGUGAAUGGUUCUGGAAAGCCCCAGGUUGGUAGAUUUAGGGGCCAAUAUUCCAACAUGAGAGGGUAGAAGAGAUUUACAAUGCAGGAAUUAUUUGAGAAGAUCAGGGAGAGAAAGACAACAAUUAAGUUUAAAACAGCAAAACCACACAGGAGCACAGAGCGAAGGGCGCUGAGGGCAAUCGGCAGCACAGUUCCGGCUGAGCCAAAGCUUAGGUCCAGUCAUUGAGAUAUGCUCCCCCCUGGGGGGUUCAGGUGAGCCCUGAGAGAUCAUCCGGGGAAGAAGAGCAGGGAAAUGGCAGGGAUGCAGGAAGGGAUGACGGGGAGCGCGUGGAGCAGCAUCUUCUUAUGGCGGCUCCUUAUGGCUGGAUGCAGCAAUGGCACGAGUGACAUCAGGUUCUCCCCAAAGGUGAGCCUGGCCAACUCUGAGCCCUGCCCUCAACAGUCACACUCCACCUAGGGCUUCUUUUGUUUUCAAGUGUUGCCCAUGUGCUAACUGCAUAAGGAGGGCAGGCAGAACCGGAAGGAAAGAAGGCACAGCUGAUGAAAUGGAACACAGGGAGAAGUUUCCUGAGUGGUGUCUAAAUAGGCUGCAAAUGGCCUUUUGGAGAACUCCCUUGCCUGUCAUAACCUAAUCCAGGACCCAUCUAGGCGGGGUGGCCUCCUGGGGAGGUAACACACAGGAGUGAGGGAGGAGGGCGAGGCCGACAUGCUCCUUUCUUCCUCUCUAUAAUCAUUCUCUCAGCCCAUGAUUCAUGGAGCUGCAUUUUAAAUGUGGGGUUUGUCUAUUGCAUGAGGAUGCUUGGAUCCCCUAAACUAGGUGUGUCUGUUGAAGACAGCCAUUCUUUCCCAGAGGAAAGGUAGGGGUUAAAUCCGUAACUGUCAGCGUGUUUGGCAACAAAAUAAAAGGAAACCACAUUCUCCAUGAAUGAAGGAAGAAGCAGGAGGAAGGUAGUUUUUUCUUUUUCUUUUUUUAAAACAUGAGUAAGAUCCUCAAUAUGUUUGAGAUUAUUUAGCAAAUUCUCUAAAAGGAGCCCUGGGUCACUACCCAACAGAUCAUGGAUGUAGAAACCACAUUCUUCCAACUUCCCUUCCCUCCUGGACCCCAGAGAUAGCAGGUUGGGUGUCGUGGGGGUCUCUGUUUAGUUAACCAUUAACAAUUCAUAAAAGUCCAGACCCCCGCACGGUAAGUCCAGUCCUCGGAAUGUUAUUAGAAAAUCCUAUUUCUGGUCUGUUAUGAAACAGAGGUUUUGAUGUGCUGCCAGGUUUAUGGGGAACUCUGGAAACAGAACACUUGCUGCUCUGAGAAGCUGGGGCCGGUGGGUGUUACAUAAAGCUUUCCUAGCAACUCAGGUUUAUCACAGAAUGUGAGGCUGCAGUGGAAAAAAAGCAAACGAGUUAAUGCAAAACAUGAGCCAACCCACUAUCCCCAUUUGCUCCAAGGCCAGCCAGCAAAUUCGUGGGAGUGAUUUUAACCCAUGGUGCCCCGGCAUGCCCGGGACUCCCGUGGGCUGCAGGUUCAGCCCAAGAAUGCCUGGGCAGCUCAGAGCUGAAAGGCACCUUCGCACAGACCUCACAGAACGCGAAGCAGCUCUUUUUGCCUCUGAACCAGUUUCUCAUUGAAAUUCACACAGACACAUCUUUCCCCCUUCUUUGGGCCGCUCCCAAUUUCUCUGGGCACUGCAGGAGUGGAAGGGAGGAAGGUCAUGUCGUCGAAGCCCAGCCAAGUGAAAUGCAUCUGAUGGCGCGACUGUGUGUCUGAAGUCAACGGAUGAGAAUCUCGUUUCUAAACUCUUGGAUCCCAAAUUAUGCAGAUUAGGAUCGAAUCCUUUUCCAGUGAUAGCUGCCAACUUUCGUGGGGUUUCUGAAAAGCAUAUAUCCAGUUAAUUGUUUUAACUCUCCCAAGGCCAGGAAGGUGGGGGUGGGUGAGGAGACCUGGGAGCAGAAACCACACAAAGUACCAUUUCCAAGGGGCAAAUCAAGGCCAAUGGCCUGUCGUGAUCUACUUACACACAAUAACCCAGACCGCAAUGGUGUAAAGAAGAGAGAAAGCUUGCCUAGCCCUGAGGACCAAUCUAACAUGUUGGACUGGGUUGGGGUUGGGGGGCCCAUGUCAAGAGGGAAGAUGGUUGAGUCGAAACUCAAGAGGAGAGGGGAAAGGCAGUUGGAGAGAAGUGUGGCCUUGGUGGGCAGCCCCUGACCUAAGGCGUCUGUCUGUGUGGUGCCACUGGACCAGGGCUCAGUGUCCACUUGCUGGAUGUUCAGUGAGAGGAGCACCACUUCAUUUGGGAAGGAAAAGAAGGGUUUUAUAGAAUCCUAGAGUCCCCUAUCCAUGCGAUGGCAGUCAUCCAGUGGGUGGAUAAUCUUCCGGUACAUAAAUCAGAUUGGCCCAAAUCUAGAGGGUCCAUAUCCUCCACUCGUUUGCUGAAGACAGUGAAGGGGGUGAAAAGGGUAAAAGCUACUGGUUUGCCUUAAAACGAAGAAACAAACCCAAGACAUCCUGGUUGGAUUUUCAGUUGAAUUUACCUAGUAGAAGGUGAAUUUCUAUUUUAGGAAGUCCUUGAAAAGUCACCAGAAAUCCAGAAAAGAAUUUGCACAGAGACACUUCUUAAAAGAUUGUAUUGAAAAUGAAAAGAAAAAAAUAGAUGGAGAACACUAAAAGAAGGCAGCAGACCAGCCCAAGGACAGUGGAGUCCAGCCACAGACCCUGGUACCAGUAGAUCUUAUUAUGCUCACUUAAUAGUAAGAAGGGAAACCCUCUGCAGAAGCCUUCACCCAAGGAUUCCUGCCCCGCCCGCAGGUGGGGGCGCCUGCCUACAGACCUCCGAUGCUGGCUUCCUUGUGGAAAUCUGUCUUCUUUGACUGUGCCCUGGGAUACGGGACAUGGUGGACGUGAUGCUGUCCUGCUCCAGGCCACCAAGGAUAACCUCCCUGGGACCGCAACUCUCCCCCUGUGCCCAGAGGGCCUGGGGCAGCAGCUCCUCAAGUAGGGAGGCAUCCUUCACUUAACAGAUGAAAAUGGAGCCACCUGAAACGCACAACUCUAACCCAGCACAUCAAGAUCCUCCAGUAGAUCUCAAAGCCCUCUUGACCCGGUUGAGCUCCAGAUUGAUUAUCAUUACCAAUGUACUCUUCCUGCCACGGGAUGGGACCCAAGCGUGGAGCCCCCCACACCACUCUGUUCAACAACUUGACUAUAAUUCAUCCAUCCUGCAGUCAACAAUGUGCGUUGAUACUUACAGUAUCU